UACGUAGGGGGCAAGCGUUGUCCGGAAUCAUUGGGCGUAAAGAGCGCGUAGGCGGCCCGAUAAGUCCGCUGUGAAAGUCAAGGGCUCAACCCUUGAAUGCCGGUGGAUACUGUCGGGCUAGAGUCCGGAAGAGGCGAGUGGAAUUCCUGGUGUGAGGCGGUGAAAUGCGCAGAUAUCAGGAAGAACACCCGUGGCGAAGGCGGCUCUCUGGGACGGUACUGACGCUGAGACGCGAAAGCGUGGGGAGCGAACAGG
rnacentral:rRNA from 1 species